rnacentral:rRNA from 1 species
UACAGAGGGUGCGAGCGUUGUUCGGAAUUAUUGGGCGUAAAGGGCGCGUAGGCGGUGCGGUAAGUCACCUGUGAAAUCUCCUGGCUCAACUGGGAGCUUGCAGGCGAAACUGCCGUGCUGGAGUGUGGGAGAGGUGCGUGGAAUUCCUGGUGUAGCGGUGAAAUGCGUAGAUAUCAGGAGGAACACCAGUGGCGAAAGCGGCUCCCUGGUCCAGCACCGACGUUCAGGCACGAAAGCGUGGGGAGCAAACAGG